AGAGCGAACGCUGGCGGCGUGCUUAACACAUGCAAGUCGAGUGCGCAGUCUUCUGUAGCAAUACAGGAGAUCGGCGCACGGCGCACGGGUGCGUAACACGUGGGUAACCUGCCCUCCAAAGGGGGAUAACCCCGCGAAAGCGGGGCUAAUACCGCAUGACAUUCCGGUGACCUCGGUCGCUGGAAUCAAAGCCCGCAAGGGCGUUGGGGGAGGGGCCCGCGGCCGAUUAGCUUGUUGGCGAGGUAACGGCUCACCAAGGCUUUGAUCGGUAGCCGGUCUGAGAGGGAUGGCCGGCCGACACUGGAACUGAGACACGGUCCAGACUCCUACGGGAGGCAGCAGUGGGGAAUCUUGCGCAAUGGGCGAAAGCCUGACGCAGCGACGCCGCGUGGGGGAUGAAGGCCUUCGGUUGUAACCCCUUUCAGCGAGGGCGAAGCGAAAGUGACGGUACCUGCAGAAGAAGCGCCGGCUAACUACGUGCCAGCAGCCGC
rnacentral:rRNA from 1 species